rnacentral:rRNA from 1 species
GACGAACGCUGGCGGCGUGCUUAACACAUGCAAGUCGAACGGAGAGGCCUUGCUUUUGUGGGGUGCUCGAGUGGCGAACGGGUGAGUAACACGUGAGUAACCUGCCCUUGACUUUGGGAUAACUUCAGGAAACUGGGGCUAAUACCGGAUAGGAGCUCCUGCUGCAUGGUGGGGGUUGGAAAGUUUCGGCGGUUGGGGAUGGACUCGCGGCUUAUCAGCUUGUUGGUGGGGUAGUGGCUUACCAAGGCUUUGACGGGUAGCCGGCCUGAGAGGGUGACCGGCCACAUUGGGACUGAGAUACGGCCCAGACUCCUACGGGAGGCAGCAGUGGGGAAUAUUGCACAAUGGGCGGAAGCCUGAUGCAGCAACGCCGCGUGCGGGAUGACGGCCUUCGGGUUGUAAACCGCUUUCGCCUGUGACGAAGCGUGAGUGACGGUAAUGGGUAAAGAAGCACCGGCUAACUACGUG